rnacentral:rRNA from 1 species
CGACGGUGAGGGGUGAAAGCUGGGGGAGCAAACCGGAUUAGAUACCCGGGUAGUCCCAGCUGUAAACGAUGCAAACUCGAUGAUGCGUUGGCUUAUUGCUAGCGCAGUGUCGCAGGGAAGCCGUUAAGUUUGCCGCCUGGGAAGUACGUACGCAAGUAUGAAACUUAAAGGAAUUGGCGGGGGAGCACCACAAGGGGUGAAGCCUGCGGUUCAAUUGGAGUCAACGCCUGAAACCUUACCCGGAGAGACAGCAGAAUGAAGGUCAAGCUGAAGACUUUACCAGACAAGCUGAGAGGUGGUGCAUGGCCGUCGCCAGCUCGUGCCGUGAGAUGUCCUGUUAAGUCAGGUAACGAGCGAGAUCCCUGCCUCUAGUUGCCACCAUUACUCUCAGGAGUAGUGGGGCGAAUUAGCGGGACCGCCGCAGUUAAUGCGGAGGAAGGAAGGGGCCACGGCAGGUCAGUAUGCCCCGAAACUCUGGGGCCACACGCGGGCUGCAAUGGUAACGACAAUUGGUUUCGAAUCCGAAAGGAUGAGGUAAUCCUCAAACGUUACCACAGUUAUGACUGAGGGCUGCAACUCGCCCUCACGAAUAUGGAAUCCCUAGUAACUGCGUGUCAUUAUCGCGCGGUGAAUACGUCCCUGCUCCUUGCACACACCGCCCGU